GACGAACGCUGGCGGCGUGCUUAACACAUGCAAGUCGAACGGAAAGGCCCUGCUUGCAGGGUACUCGAGUGGCGAACGGGUGAGUAACACGUGGGUGAUCUGCCCUGCACUUCGGGAUAAGCCUGGGAAACUGGGUCUAAUACCGGAUAGGAGCCAUUUUUCGUGUGAUGGUUGGAAAGUUUUUUCGGUGUAGGAUGAGCUCGCGGCCUAUCAGCUUGUUGGUGGGGUAAUGGCCUACCAAGGCGGCGACGGGUAGCCGGCCUGGGAGGGUGGACGGCCACAUUGGGACUGAGAUACGGCCCAGACUCCUACGGGAGGCAGCAGUGGGGAAUAUUGCACAAUGGGCGCAAGCCUGAUGCAGCGACGCCGCGUGGGGGAUGACGGCCUUCGGGUUGUAAACUCCUUUCGCUAGGGACGAAGCUUUUUGUGACGGUACCUAGAUAAGAAGCACCGGCUAACUACGUG
rnacentral:rRNA from 1 species